AUCCAGCUAACGAGUUCAAAAUAGAACGAAACACAGUAUCGAGGAU
rnacentral:hammerhead_ribozyme from 1 species